rnacentral:lncRNA from 1 species
AAACAAACAAAAUUCAACUCUUUAUCUUCUUUUCACUCACAAAUUUCUUCAAUCACUAAGAAAAAAACAACUAGUUAUGGCACUUGAAGCUUUGAAUUCUCCAACCACAACAACUCCACCAUCACUAUUUCAAUUCCAAAUUAAUACUACUACUCAAAAUUACCUUGAAUCAUGGACAAAUAGCAAGAUGAGAUCGAAACGACCUCGUAGCGGCCUCAUCAUGGAGGAGCAACAACCAAUUAUUUCUGAAGAUGAAUACUUAGCUUUGUGUCUACUCAUGCUCGCACACAGCAAUAACAAUAACAAUAACGAUAUUACUAGUAGUGUUCAGUUUGCGGCAAGUGUUUUGGAUCUUAUCAAGCUUUAGGAGCUAGUCACCGUAGUAAUAGAGAUAAAGUCAACGAACACUCUGUGAUUACAUAUAGUGCCACGUCAGGUAACGCGGUUAGUGGAAGGACUCAUGAGUGUUCCAUUUGCCACAAGACUUUUCCAACUGGACAAGCUUUGGGUGGUCAUAAGAGACGUCACUAUGAGGGAAAAGUGACGUCAUCAUCAUCGUCGUUGAACGGUGUGGGGUCCGUCAACAACUUUGACUUGAACGUUCCGGCAUUGCCGGAAUAUUGGCCGGGUUUUGGCUCCGGCGAAGAUGAGGUGGAAAGUCCUCAUCCAGCUAAGAAAUUAAGGCAAUUAUUAUGACAAGUUCAUAAUUUAGUAUACUUGUUUAAUUUGUUUUUACAUGUCCAUUUGGAUGAGGUGGACAAUUUUUAAUUUUUUUUCAAUUUUUUGUAAAUGUCCAAUACACUUGGAGAAAGUGAUUAAUUGAUUGAUUUAUUUUACUAAAUUAUAAAUCAAACUCAUUGAUUUU